UACGAAGGGGGCUAGCGUUGUUCGGAAUUACUGGGCGUAAAGCGUAUGUAGGCGGAUCGUUAAGUCGGGGGUGAAAUCCCGAGGCUCAACCUCGGAACUGCCUUCGAUACUGGCGACCUUCGAGUCCGGGAGAGGUGAGUGGAACUCCGAGUGUAGAGGUGAAAUUCGUAGAUAUUCGGAAGAACACCAGUGGCGAAGGCGGCUCACUGGCCCGGUACUGACGCUGAGAUACGAAAGCGUGGGGAGCAAACAGG
rnacentral:rRNA from 1 species